GAUGAAGAACGUAGCGAAAUGCGAUACUUGGUGUGAAUUGCAGAAUCCCGUGAACCAUCGAGUCUUUGAACGCAAGUUGCGCCCGAAGCCAUUAGGGCGAGGGCACGCCUGCCUGGGCGUCACACGUCGUUGCCCCCCCAUCUACUCCUUCGGGAUUGCGGGGGGCGGAUGAUGGCCUCUCGUGCGCCUCGUCGCGCGGUUGGCCUAAAUGCCAAGUCCUCGGCGACGCACGCCACGACAAUCGGUGGUUGCGAAACCUCGGUUGCCUGUCGUGUGCGGUCGUCGCGCAUCGAGGGCUCGAAAAAAUUGCCGGGCUUCGGCUCGACUUUCAACGCGACCCCAGGUCAGGCGGGGUUACCCGCUGAAUUUAAGCAUAUCAAUAAGCGGAGGA
rnacentral:misc_RNA from 1 species